AGAGUUUGAUCCUGGCUCAGAGCGAACGUUAGCGGCGGGCCUAACACAUGCAAGUCGAACGAGAAUAGGGGAGCAAUCCCCUUAGUAAAGUGGCGGACGGGUGCGUAACACGUGGGUAAUCUACCUUCCGGCGGGGGACAACAGUCCGAAAGGAUUGCUAAUACCGCAUACGUCAGCGAGGUCUACGGACCUUGUUGGGAAAGAUGGCCUCUCCUUGGAAGCUGUCACCGGAAGAUGAGCCCGCGUCCCAUCAGCUAGUUGGCGAGGUAAUGGCUCACCAAGGCAUAGACGGGUAGCUGGUCUGAGAGGAUGAUCAGCCACACUGGGACUGCGACACGGCCCAGACUCCUACGGGAGGCAGCAGUGGGGAAUAUUGGGCAAUGGGCGAAAGCCUGACCCAGCCACGCCGCGUGAGUGAUGAAGGCCUUCGGGUCGUAAAGCUCUGUGGGGAGGGACGAAUAAGUGCCGUACUAACACUACGGCGCCCUGACGGUACCUCCUUAGCAAGCACCGGCUAACCAUGUGCCAGCAGCCGCGGUAAUACAUGGGGUGCAAACGUUGCUCGGAAUUAUUGGGCGUAAAGCGCGCGUAGGCGGUUACUCAAGUCGGAUGUGAAAGCCCUCGGCUUAACUGAGGAAGUGCACCCGAAACUGAGUAGCUAGAGUAC
rnacentral:rRNA from 1 species